UCUCCGUUGGUGAACCAGCGGAGGGAUCAUUACAGAGUUGCAAAACUCCCAAACCAUUUUUAACGUUACCUAGCCCGUUGCUUCGGCGGGCGGCCCGGGCCCCGCGCCCCCCGCCCCCCCGCCCCCCGUGGGCCCCCGCCGGACGUAAACCAAACCCUUGCAUUGCAUGGCCUCUCUGCGUCUUCUGUACUGAAUAAGCCAAAACUUUCAACAACGGAUCUCUUGGCUCUC
rnacentral:misc_RNA from 1 species